rnacentral:rRNA from 1 species
UACACGACCGUACCGCAAACCGACACUGGUGCGCGAGAUGAGUAUUCUAAGGCGCUUGAGAGAACUCGGGAGAAGGAACUCGGCAAAUUGACACCGUAACUUCGGAAGAAGGUGUGCCUUUAGUAGGUGAAGGGAUUUACUCCUGGAGCCCAAUGAGGUUGCAAAAAAUCGGUGGCUGCGACUGUUUAUUAAAAACACAGCACUCUGCAAACACGAAAGUGGACGUAUAGGGUGUGACGCCUGCCCGGUGCUGGAAGAUUAAAUGAUGGGGUGCAAGCUCUUGAUUGAAGUCCCAGUAAACGGCGGCCGUAACAAUAACGGUCCUAAGGUAGCGAAAUUCCUUGUCGGGUAAGUUCCGACCUGCACGAAUGGCGUAACGAUGGCCACACUGUCUCCUCCCGAGACUCAGCGAAGUUGAAAUGUUUGUGAUGAUGCAAUCUCCCCGCGGAAAGACGGAAAGACCCCAUGAACCUUUACUGUAGCUUUGUAUUGGACUUUGAACAGAUCUGUGUAGGAUAGGUGGGAGGCUUUGAAGCAGGGUCGCUAGAUCUUGUGGAGCCAACGUUGAAAUACCACCCUGGUGUGUUUGAGGUUCUAACCUAGGUCCAUUAUCUGGAUCGGGGACAGUGCAUGGUAGGCAGUUUGACUGGGGCGGUCUCCUCCCAAAGCGUAACGGAGGAGUUCGAAGGUACGCUAGGUACGGUCGGACAUCGUGCUAAUAGUGCAAUGGCAUAAGCGUGCUUAACUGCGAGACUGACAAGUCGAGCAGAUGCGAAAGCAGGACAUAGUGAUCCGGUGGUUCUGUAUGGAAGGGCCAUCGCUCAACGGAUAAAAGGUACUCUGGGGAUAACAGGCUGAUACCGCCCAAGAGUUCAUAUCGACGGCGGUGUUUGGCACCUCGAUGUCGGCUCAUCUCAUCCUGGGGCUGUAGCCGGUCCCAAGGGUAUGGCUGUUCGCCAUUUAAAGAGGUACGUGAGCUGGGUUUAAAACGUCGUGAGACAGUUUGGUCCCUAUCUUCCGUGGGCGCUGCAGAUUUGAGGAAGCCUGCUCCUAGUACGAGAGGACCGGAGUGGACGCACCUCUGGUGUAUCGGUUGUCACGCCAGUGGCAUUGCCGAGUAGCUAUGUGCGGAAGAGAUAACCGCUGAAAGCAUCUAAGCGGGAAACUCGUUUCAAGAUGAGAUCUGCCGGGGCCUUGAGCCCCCUAAAGAGUCGUUCAAGACCAGGACGUUGAUAGGUCAGGUGUGGAAGCGCAGUAAUGCGUUAAGCUAACUGAUACUAAUUGCUCGUGCGGCUUGACCCU